rnacentral:lncRNA from 13 species
UACCCGGUACUCCCUGUAUAUAGCCAUGUUAUUACCUGAUACUCCCUGUAUAUAGCCAUGUUAUUACCUGGUACUCCCUGUAUAUAUCCAUGAUAUUACCCGGUACUCCCUGUAUAUAGCCAUGUUAUUACCCGGUACUCACUGUAUAUAGCCAUGUUAUUACCCGGUACUCCCUGUAUAUAGCCAUGUUAUUACCUGGUACUCCCUGUAUAUAGCCAUGUUAUUACUUGGUACUCACUGUAUAUAGCCAUGUUAUUACCCGGUACUUCCUGUAUAUAGCCAUGUUAUUUCCUGGUACUUCCUGUAUAUAGCCAUGUUAUUUUUAUUUGUGUUUGUUUGAUAAAUUUGUUUGAUAAAUUCACUAUGGACAUAUGAAUAUAUUUUUGGACAUGCUACAAUUAACAGGAGGUUGGUGGCACUUUAAUUGGGGAGGAUGGGCUCAUGGAAAUGGCUGGAGCGGAUUAGCUGGAAUGGUAUGAAAUACAUCAAACACAUGGUUUGAUGCCAUUCCAUUUGCUCCAUUCCAUACAUUAUUAUGAGCUGCUCUCCCUUCAGCAGCCUCCACUGCCAAUUCUAAUUUAUACAGGUAUGUGUCAUGCCCUGGUCUUAGUAUUUUGUGUUUUCUUUAUUAUUUUGGUCAGGCCAGGGUGUGACAUGGGUUUUUUAUGUGGUGUGUUUUCUUUAUUAUUUUGGUCAGGCCAGGGUGUGACAUGGGUCUUUUAUGUGGUGUGUUUUGUCUUGGGGUUUUGUUAGGUUAGGCUGUUUAGGUUUUCUCACGUUUAUUGUUUUGUUAGUUUAGUCAUGUAUAGUUUUCUUCAUUAAAGUACCAUGAAUAAUAACCACGCUGCGUUUUGGUCCGCCUCUCCUUCAACUCAAGAAAACCGUUACAGUAUGGUCAUGUGAAAUGUAUCAAAUAGGACCCCAUUGAGUUGUUUGGUGGCCAUAUUGGAAAAGGCUUCUGUGGGAUUAACCCUUUACACCCGUGGGAAUUGGCCUAUAUUGAUAGGGCUGUCAAGCCCUGACCAUAGAGAGCUUUUAUUCUCUAUGUUGGUUAGGUCGGGGUGUGAUUUAAGGGUGGGUUAUCUAGGUGAAUUAUAUUUAUAUGUUGUACCUAGUAU